rnacentral:tRNA from 1 species
UGGGGUUGUGGCUCAGUGGCAGAGCGCUCACCUAGCAUGUGCGAGGCCCUGGGUUCAAUCCUCAGCACCACAA